AUUCCGGAGAGGGAGCCUGAGAAACGGCUACCACAUCUACGGAAGGCAGCAGGCGCGAAAAUUGCCCAAUCCUGAUUCAGGGAGGCAGUGACAAGAAAUAACAACUCUCAACAUUGUUGAGAAGUGUAAUGAGGAUAAUUUACAAACCUUACCGAAAGCAAUUGGAGGGCAAGUCUGGUGCCAGCAGCCGCGGUAAUUCCAGCUCCAAAAGCGUAUAUUAAAGUUGUUGCAGUUAAAAAGCUCGUAGUUGAAGUUCUGGCUGUAUUGGGCCUCUGCACUUGAUGCGAAGGAACCAGCAGUCAUCCGCUUGCAAAUACAUGUUCUUCCUUAACCGGUAGACUGUAUAAGUAAGCAAUUUACCUUGAGAAAAACAGAGUGUUCCAGGCAGGUUUGUCCGGAAUGCAUUAGCAUGGAAUAAUAGAAUAUGACUAGAGUCGAUUUGUUGGUUAAAGGCUUUAGUAAUGAUUAAUAGGAACAAUCGGGGGCAUUGGUACUCGUCAGUCAGAGGUGAAAUUCUAAGAUUUGACGAAGACUAACUGAUGCGAAAGCGUUUGCCAAGAAUGUUUUCAUUAAUCAAGAACGGAAGUUAGGGGAUCAAAGACGAUUAGAUACCGUCCUAGUCUUAACUAUAAACUAUACCGACUCGGAUUCAGAUGAAUAUUAAAGUUCAUUUGGGACCGUAGGAGAAAUCAAAGUCUUUGGGUUCUGGGGGGAGUAUGGUCGCAAGGCUGAAACUUAAAGGAAUUGACGGUUUUGCACCACCAUGGAGUGGAGCCUGCGGCUUAAUUUGACCCAACACUGGGAAACUCAUCAGGGCAAGAAGAUUUUAGGAUUGACAGAUUGAGAGUUCUUUCUUGAUUGGUCUAGUGGUGGUGCAUGGCCGUUCUUAGUUGGUGGAGUGAUUUGUCUGGUUAAUUCCGUUAACGAACGAGACCUUAACCUGCUAACUAGUACACUGAUUUCCAAUCGGUGCUACUUCUUAGAGGGACUAUGUGAUGUAAUCACAUGGAAGUUUGAGGCAAUAACAGGUCUGUGAUGCCCUUAGAUGUCCUGAGCUGCACGCGCGCUACAAUGACACAUUCAACGAGUAUUUCCUGACCCGAAAGGGCUCGGGUAAUCUUUUUAGUGUGUGUCGUGAUAGGGAUUGAUCUUUGUAAUUAUGGAUCAUGAACGAGGAAUUCCUAGUAAGCGCACGUCAUCAGCGUGUGCUGAUUACGUCCCUGCAAAAUGUACACACCGCCCGUCGCUAUUACCGAUUGGGUGUAUAGGUGAACCUUCCUGAU
rnacentral:rRNA from 1 species